UCUUAGCACUUUGAACAAUAUGACAGGGA
rnacentral:piRNA from 1 species